UCCUCUUCACUUUCUUAAGACUUCAAGAAGCUACCAAAUUCUCACCAAAAAGCUUCUCUUUGCCGAACCCAUAACCCCACCACCAUCUCCAUCAAAUUCUCACCAAAGCUUGGAGUUUUUGGAAGCAAAAGACUCUAAAAUCAAAGGAGAUCAAGACUCGGCGAGGCGACUACCAACGGAACACGGUACUUAAAGAACGCAAUAUGACCGUAGCUUUUGGAUAGAAAACUUGUUAUGUUUCAGGUGUAUAGUAUCGGAUGUAACGGACUUCUAUCCUUGUUCCAGAAGUCCGCGAGUACAGAAAGAAGGAAUAAAUCAGUAGUGCUGCAGUAGUCGAGUCCUAGAGUGUAAUUAUGUUUUAUCAAACGGUUUUAAAUAUCUUGUUUAUACUCUGAUAUGUAUAAAGGUUUUAGACUGCGCUUUUAACAGUUUAUAUAUAUAUAUAUAUAUGUGAGAAAUAGGGCAUUGCUUGAUAUGGGAUAUCGCUUUGUAAGACCCUGAUUUCUAAAGAUCGUAUUGUAUCGUUUAAAGAAGUUUUAUAAAAACGUUUUGUGAA